GAGUUUGAUCCUGGCUCAGGAUGAGCGCUGGCGGCGUGCCUAAUACAUGCAAGUCGAGCGAACAGACAAGGAGCUUGCUCCUUUGACGUUAGCGGCGGACGGGUGAGUAACACGUGGGUAACCUACCUAUAAGACUGGGAUAACUUCGGGAAACCGGAGCUAAUACCGGAUAAUAUUUCGAACCGCAUGGUUCGAUAGUGAAAGAUGGUUUUGCUAUCACUUAUAGAUGGACCCGCGCCGUAUUAGCUAGUUGGUAAGGUAACGGCUUACCAAGGCGACGAUACGUAGCCGACCUGAGAGGGUGAUCGGCCACACUGGAACUGAGACACGGUCCAGACUCCUACGGGAGGCAGCAGUAGGGAAUCUUCCGCAAUGGGCGAAAGCCUGACGGAGCAACGCCGCGUGAGUGAUGAAGGUCUUCGGAUCGUAAAACUCUGUUAUUAGGGAAGAACAUACGUGUAAGUAACUAUGCACGUCUUGACGGUACCUAAUCAGAAAGCCACGGCUAACUACGUGCCAGCAGCCGCGGUAAUACGUAGGUGGCAAGCGUUAUCCGGAAUUAUUGGGCGUAAAGCGCGCGUAGGCGGUUUUUUAAGUCUGAUGUGUAAGCCCACGGCUCAACCGUGGAGGGUCAUUGGAAACUGGAAAACUUGAGUGCAGAAGAGGAAAGUGGAAUUCCAUGUGUAGCGGUGAAAUGCGCAGAGAUAUGGAGGAACACCAGUGGCGAAGGCGACUUUCUGGUCUGUAACUGACGCUGAUGUGCGAAAGCGUGGGGAUCAAACAGGAUUAGAUACCCUGGUAGUCCACGCCGUAAACGAUGAGUGCUAAGUGUUAGGGGGUUUCCGCCCCUUAGUGCUGCAGCUAACGCAUUAAGCACUCCGCCUGGGGAGUACGACCGCAAGGUUGAAACUCAAAGGAAUUGACGGGGACCCGCACAAGCGGUGGAGCAUGUGGUUUAAUUCGAAGCAACGCGAAGAACCUUACCAAAUCUUGACAUCCUUUGACAACUCUAGAGGUAGAGCCUUCCCCUUCGGGGGACAAAGUGACAGGUGGUGCAUGGUUGUCGUCAGCUCGUGUCGUGAGAUGUUGGGUUAAGUCCCGCAACGAGCGCAACCCUUAAGCUUAGUUGCCAUCAUUAAGUUGGGCACUCUAAGUUGACUGCCGGUGACAAACCGGAGGAAGGUGGGGAUGACGUCAAAUCAUCAUGCCCCUUAUGAUUUGGGCUACACACGUGCUACAAUGGACAAUACAAAGGGCAGCGAAACCGCGAGGUCAAGCAAAUCCCAUAAAGUUGUUCUCAGUUCGGAUUGUAGUCUGCAACUCGACUACAUGAAGCUGGAAUCGCUAGUAAUCGUAGAUCAGCAUGCUACGGUGAAUACGUUCCCGGGUCUUGUACACACCGCCCGUCACACCACGAGAGUUUGUAACACCCGAAGCCGGUGGAGUAACCAUUUGGAGCUAGCCGUCGAAGGUGGGACAAAUGAUUGGGGUGAAGUCGUAACAAGGUAGCCGUAUCGGAAGGUGCGGCUGGAUCACCUCCU
rnacentral:rRNA from 1 species